rnacentral:siRNA from 1 species
GGUUGGUCAGCGAAUUAGUGGUC